CAUUUGUCAGCUGUCAGACGAGCUCGUCAAUCCACCUACGUCAUAUUUAAAAAAAAAGAAAAAGCAAAAAACCUUACGGUGACUUCUUUGAACUUUUAAAUGUUAAUGAUGUCUGCCAUAAAAUUUAACUUAGAAGAAAUCAAACUCAUACAGCAAAGGAAAAGAAACAAACACAAGAGGAUACAAAUAUAAAUUUUGGCAGGGUAGGAGUAAUUUUCAACUAAUACAGCUUUAUUUCUCAAACAGGGCGGUUGGUUUUUGGAAUGAGCUGCCUUUGAAUGUGGUGGAUGGAGUUAAUUUAAGAGAGUUAAAGGGAGACUUUGAUAAAUAUUUGAAUGAUAAGGGCUAGCUUUGAGUUUUUAGUGUUUAAUUUAAUCGAUAGGAUGGCCUAGAUGUAGAAAAAGGUCAUUUGUUGUCCUUUAGUGCUAUGUUAUAAAAUGUUCAUUCACAAAAGAUGCUAGUCUUACUCAUAGCCAAGCUGGUCAACUUCUAAGGUCUGUUAUCACUAGCAUCUAGCUGGUGGAACAUCAAUAUUUCUUUAAACCUUCACCACCAAGACAGGAAUUGGAAUAAUGAUGUAUUGCACUGUUAAGUUAAACCAAAAGUUUGUAGUGCAAUAUCACACAAUCCUAGAUUAAUUGUGUUAUUCGCACCAUACGUGUCCAUGGGAGAUAAAUUCUCAACUCAUACUAACUUGUACAAGUCUUGUACCACCUCAAGAAAUGAAAACAACCUCACUUCAGGAGAGCAUAACACAGAAAUACAGCCAAUUCAACAGUAACUGCUGUAAACCACAAGCUACAUGCCAACAGGAAUGAUAGUUUCAGUAACAGUGUACCACAAGGAGUAUGUUACAGUCAGGUUCGUGGGAUUCUUACUCUUACAUAGCAAGUAAACAGAGUUGAUGCAUGGCAACAUCCUGUUUCCAUAAAAAUCACAACGAGAAAAAUCUCCAAUGUGAUGAUGUUUCUUUAUGAACAGCAACAACCUGAGGUAGUGCUAGUUGAUUCAUCAAGGUGUUUUGGGUAACUUCCAUUUCAUGUCUUCAACCUUCCAUGUAUUUUAUUCUGAUAAACCCAGAUUGAGUAACAACUAU
rnacentral:misc_RNA from 1 species